CCAAUUUAUGGGAGGCCUUUUGGCUAAGAUUAAGUGUAGUGUUAUUAUCAGUUUAAUAUCUUAUAUAAAGAAUUAAAUUAUUUUUUUAUGAAGGAGAGUUCGUUACUCGCACGCAUCCAUGUAUUAUAUUACAUACGCAACCAAGGGCAGAGCCACGUAUAACUUUGGUGGGGCAAUUGCCCACCUCAA